ACUGGGCUGGCUCAGCUUGUAGAGCAUGUGACUCAUGAUCUCGGGGUUGUGGGCUCAAGUCCCACGUUAGGUG
rnacentral:tRNA from 1 species